ncrna:Pyrococcus abyssi GE5 Fluoride riboswitch
GUUCUCUUGGGCGAUGGCGCCCGCCCGGGGCUUCGAGCCCGAACCGCCUCCCAUGGGGAGGCUGAUGGCGCCUAUUCUUGA